AUGAACAAAAUCCUGGAGCUGAGUCAGAACUGGGUGAUGAAGGAAGUUUCUGCAUUGGAAAGGAUGACUACCAGUGAAUGGGGAGCAAGAUCCUUGACCUGGCUUGCCAAAAGAAAUGGACCUGGAUGGAGUUGGUUGGACAGUGCAGAGCCAAGCCCUGAAAGCUACAGAGAGGAAUGUCUAACCGAUGGAUCAAUUGCUCUUAAAAGGAAAGAGCUUUCAUACUGCAAGAUUCUGGGCCGAGGAGAGAGCUGGUUGUUAAAACAUUUACCAACACCCCUCUGGCAAGAAGUAAAGUGA
rnacentral:lncRNA from 1 species